rnacentral:lncRNA from 1 species
UGAUGUCUUGUUGCACUUAGUUGUUUUUCUUAGCUGAAUUUGAGUAUUGAGUAAAUUCUGCGAAUUAUGUAGGUUUGAAUGUUCUACUUAGGGUUUGAAGUUGAAGUAGUUUAAAAAGGUUAAAUUAAUGAAUAAAAUUGAUUUAGGGGUUAGGCAAAGACAAGAGAGUUGAUAGAAGAUAGAUAGAAGAAGACCUUAUUGAGUUUCUUGCUUGCUUGCAGGGUAAUUUCUUUUUAUUUUUUUAUUUGAAAGUGUUAUUUAUAUAUUAAGUCUUCUCUUUCAUAUUGGGCUAGUUGUAUGCAUUAUUCUAGAGACUUUUGGAUGAAGACAUGGUCGAAAAAUCUAAAGUUCUUUGCUACUUCUUAAUGAAUGGUUGGUGGUCUUUGUAUUAGUCUCCAUCAAGCCUCUUCUUAUUAGUCUAUAUUAAUGUUUGGAAGAAAAACAUUUUUGUGUUUUCCUCGAACUUUCGCGCUUUGGUCAAAUGGUAUACUAAUUUCUCAGUUUAAAUGGGUGUACAAUGUUCUUUAGUUUCUUACAACAAAGACAUUACAGUGAGUUUUAAUUCUGAUUAGUUUGAGUUUAUGCUUUCUGUGAUAUCUGAAUCCAUUAACCAUUUCUCUUCUUCUUAUUAUGUUUGAUUUGCUAUGCUAUGUAGGUGGUUUUUGUGAAGUAGAGAAGUUGACUUUGUUAGUGUUGGGUUUUAUAUGCAUAAUCAGGAGAAGGGGAAGUUUUUUGUUCAGGAACGUACGAAUGGCUUUAGGGCGUUCGUACGUCCAAUGUGGCAGACAACUUUUUCGGGACAGAACGUACGAACGUGGUUAGGGCGUUCGAACGUCCCGUACGCCAGAUCUUUGUUACGUGUUGUACACGUACGUACGUGAUUUCGACGUACGUACGUCCUCUUCCAGUUUUGUGCAAUAUGGGCCUGUUUUGAGCCCAAUUCGUGGCUAUUGUAAGGCUAUACUAUAAAGCCAAAUAGAUGAGAUGCAAAACCUUAACUUUUCUAGGAGAGAGAUUGUGAGAAGCCAUUAGAGAGUUUGAGAGAACUUUUGUGAGGAAGAGAACUUCGGUUUCUUCGUGAGGGUUUGUACAAUUGUCUUGUUAAAGAAAAACAUCAUCCUUUCUCCCCGUGGACGUAGGCAUAUUGCCGAACCACGUACAUCUUGUGUCUUGUGUGUGAUUGCUUGUUUACUUUUGUCGUUUUCGUUUUACUUUCAUAUAUUAGUUCAAUCAUCAUAUUUGUGCAUUAGCCUCCGCUGCGCACAACAAGUGGCAUCAGAGCUUAGGUUAGAACUUGAACGUCUACAAGGUGUGUUGAAAUUCCGGUGUGAAUUUCAGAUUCGUUUGGUAAUUGUUUAGUGUUUUGAAAGUUGGUGGAAAGAUGUCAAAAGAAGGGAGUUCGAAGAGUUCGAAGGGGGAAACCAAAUCUGUGGUUUACCAUCAAGCAAAAAUUGAUGUAGAGAAGUUUACUGGCACCAAUAACUUUGGUAUGUGGAGGUGUGAGGUAAUGGAUGCUCUAUGUCAACAAGACCUAUAAGAUAUUCUGGAGGAUAAGCCAGAAGAUGUGGAAGAGAAGGAUUGGAAAAAGAUGAACAAACGAGCUUGUGGAAUCAUAAGGUCGUGUUUGGCACAAGAAAUCAAAUAUCUUGUGAUGAAUGAUGUUUCUGCAAAGGAGAUGUGGCAAAAAUUGGAGGAGAAGUACAUGACAAAGACUAUCCACAAUAAAAACUAUCUACUUCGAAAGUUUUAUCGAAUAGAUAUGAGAAGAGGUAUUUCCAUGGCGGAACAUCUUAAUGAUUUUACCAAGCUGAUUGCAGACUUGGCAAAUCUAGGAGCAGAUGUGAGUGAUGAAAGCAAGGCGGUGUGUCUCCUCAAUUCGUUACCGGACGAAUAUGAACACUUGGCUAUCACACUCACAUAUAGGAAAGAAAAAUUGGUGUAUAGUGAGAUUUCUGCAGCAUUGUUAAAUCAUGCGUGUAUGAAGAAGGACAAAGAAGAGUCCAAGGGCUCUACACAUGAGGUCUUGGUUACAAGAGGAAGGUCUAGUGACAGGAAAGGCCAAGGUGGUAGAGGGAAAUCUCGGUCAAAGUCGAGAGGUCGAUCUCUAGCAAAGGAUGAAUGCUCCUUUUGUCAUGAGAAAUGGCAUUGGAAGAGAGAUUGUCCUAAAGCCAAGGCAAAAGACAAGAAGAAAGACUCUGAGGUAAACGUUGCAUGUGAUACUAAAGAUGAGGAUGUAGAUUCUGAUUAUUCUUUAUCUGUUUCAUCAAUGGCUUGUUACACUAGUGGUAAUGAAUGGAUUUUAGAUUGUGCUGCUUCUUAUCAUAUAUGUCCUAUAACGGAAUGGUUUUCUGAUUUUAAGAAGCAGGAGAGUGGUGUAGUGGUGAUGGGGAAUGAUCAACCUUGUCACAUAAUGGGUAUAGGCACCAUUCGUCUGAAGAUGUUUGAUGGAAUUAUAAGGAAGCUGAAAAAUGUUAGGUAUGUUCCUGACAUGAAGAAGAAUCUUAUCUCAGUUGGUACUUUAGAAGCCAGUGGUUACAGGGUGGUACUUGAACAUGGCGUUCUAAAGGUUGUGGCUGGUGCAAUAGUUGUACUCAAGGGUGUUCGACAGAGGAACUUGUACUUCCUUCAAGGUAGUACAGUUACUGGUGAUGUGGCCAUGUCUGAGGCUACAUCAAAGAUGGCUAGAGAGACUACGCGGUUGUGGCAUAUGCGGUUGGCGCAUACUGGUGAAAAAUCCUUGCAAAGAUUGAUUAAGCAAGGAUUGUUAAAAGGUGCUAUCGCCUGUAAAUUAGAAUUCUGUGAGCAUUGUAUUCUGGGCAAGCAGACAAGAGUAAAGUUUGGCACGGCUAUCCAUAAUACUAGUGGAGCUCUUGAUUAUGUUCACACGGAUGUCUGGGGACCUACCAAGAACGCAUCUUGGGGAGGUAAGCAUUAUUUUGUGUCUUUUGUUGAUGAUUUUUCUAGGCGUGUGUGGGUGUACACCAUGAAGAGCAAGGAUGAAGUCCUAGAAAUUUUCAUGAAAUGGAAAAAGUUAGUUGAGACCCGAAUUGGCAGAAAGAUCAAGGUACUUCGCUCAGAUAAUGGAGGAGAGUACAAGAAUGAUCCAUUCUUGCAAGUAUGUCAGGAUGAGGGUAUUGAACGUCAUUUCACUGUAAGAGAGACACCGCAGCAAAAUGGGGUGGCAGAACGGAUGAAUUGAACUUUACUGGAGAGAGUUCGGUGUAUGUUGUCUAAUGCUGGGUUAGGCAAAGUGUUUUGGGCUGAGGCUAUUAUGUAUGCCGGUCACCUUAUUAACAGGUUGCCUUCGACUGCGAUUGAUGGCAAAACUCCUAUGGAGGUUUGGUCUGGUAAGCCUGUUUCAGAUUAUUGUUUUCUUCAUGUGUUUGGGUGUCCAGCUUACUAUCAUGUCCAAGAGAGUAAGUUGGAUCCUCGUGCAAAGAAGUCUUUAUUUAUGGGUCUACAGAGUGGAGUAAAAGGUUAUAAGCUAUGGGAUCCAGAAUUGAAGAAAAUUAUUCUAAGCAGAGAUGUGACAUUUGAUGAGGCUUCUAUGUUGAAGUCUAAGAGCUCUCAGCAGGUGGAGAGCAAGGCCAAAGAGGUUUCGCAGUGGGUGGAGACUGAAAUAUCUCCACGUGUUCCAGGUGGUUCUGUAUCUUUGGAAACGUCUACUGUAAGGGUUCCAAGUGAUGAGGUUCCUAGUGUUACAGAUUCUGAUGACAUGAUAGAUAAUGAGACGGUUGAUGAUACAGUACAUGUGGACUCUGAUGAUGAGGGUCCAAUUGCAUCUAGAUUAUCCAAGAGAAAUGCGGGUGUUCCUAAACGGCUUACUGAUGAUAUGGUAGCUUAUGCACUUUCGGUUGUUGAUGAGGGUAUUCCAGAAACUUUUCGUGAAGCACUGCAGAGUUGUGAUUAUGAAAGGUGGAAGAAGGCCAUGGAUGAGGAGAUGAAAUCUCUUCAUAAGAAUGACACUUCGGAACUCAUGGAGUUGCCUAAGGGAAAGAAAGCAAUUGGGUGCAAAUAGGUUUACACUAAGAAAGAUGGGUCUCCUGGUGAAAAUGUACGCUUCAAAGCAAGAUUGGUGGCAAAAGGCUAUGCUCAGAAGGAGGGAAUUGAUUAUAAUGAAAUCUUUUCUCCGGUUGUGAAACAUUCCUCCAUUCGCAUCCUAUUGGCCUUGGUAGCACAGUUUGAUUUGGAGUUAGCUCAACUUGAUGUGAAAACUGCUUUUCUACAUGGUGAGCUAGAUGAGGAGAUCUAUAUGACUCAGCCGAGUGGGUAUAAAGAUGCGGGAAAUGAUAAGUUGGUGUGUAGAUUGAAGAAAUCGUUGUAUGGGUUGAGGCAAUCUCCAAGACAAUGGUACAAGCGGUUUACACAGUUUAUGCUUGGGCAAGGGUACACAAGAAGUCUAUAUGAUUCUUGUGUCUAUUUUCGCAAGGUAUGUGAUGGUUCUUUUAUCUAUUUGCUUUUAUAUGUUGAUGACAUGCUCAUAGCCUCUAAAAGCAAUGUGGAGAUAGACAAGUUGAAAAAGACUAUGUCUAUGGAGUUUGAGAUGAAAGAUCUUGGUGAUGCGAGAAAGAUACUUGGCAUGGAAAUUCAGAGGGAUCGAGACAAUGGAAGGUUGUGGUUAUCUCAAAAGGCCUAUCUACAGAAGGUGCUACAGAGAUUUAGCCAAUAUGAGAUUGGUGUAGCUGUGAGUAUACCUCUCUCAAAAGAUUUUAAUUUGAAUGCUUCCAUGUCUCCUAAUUCUGAUAGGGGACGUGCUUAUAUGACACGUUAUCCAUACGCAAGUGCGGUUGGUAGCUUGAUGUAUGCGAUGGUAUGUACAAGGCCCGACAUUGGGCAUGCAGUUGGCACUGUAAGUAGGUACAUGCAUAAUCCUGGUGAGAAACAUUGGGAAGCUUUGAAAUGGAUCUUGCGCUACAUUCAAGGUAGUGUGGAGAUUGGUUUACUAUUCCAGAAGGGAAGGGAUUUGACUCAGUUGUGUGUUGGUUAUGUGGACGCUGAUUAUGAUGGUCAGAUAGAGCGACGUCGGUCUACUACUGGAUAUGUUUUUACAUUGGCAGGUGGUCCUAUUAGUUGGCGGUCUACAUUACAAUCUCUUGUUGCUUUGUCUUCGACAGAAGCAGAAUAUAUGGCUGUGACUGAAGCCUUUAAGGAAGCCAUUUGGUUACGAGGUAUGUUGAAGAACUUGGGUAUUGUGCAGGAGAAGCUUAUGGUUCAUUGUGACAAUCAAAGUACCAUAAAUCUGGCAAAGAACUCAGUUUACCAUGCUCGUACAAAGCACAUUGAUGUGCGACAUCACUUUGUCAGGGACAUUAUUGAAGAUGGUGAGAUCUUAUUGAAGAAGAUUCAUACUAGCAAUAAUCCGGCCGACAUGUUGACUAAAGUGGUUCCAGGGACUAAGUUCUAUCAUUGCUUAGAUUUAGUCCAUAUCCUUCCUUUGUGUUGAUAGUAUAUCAUGGAGUGAACUACGAUGGCUUGAUCCCUUAGAAGAAGGGUACGUAGGCAACCAUGAGGUGGUGCAGCCGAGGUGGUCUUUUGGGACAUGUGUGAGAGUUUGUGAUUUGUGUUUUUCGGCUUAGAUUUAUUGAAUCUUCGCCGAGGUGGAGAAUUGUUGGGUUUUAUAUGCAUAAUCAGGAGAAGGGGAAGUUUUUUGUUCAGGAACGUACGAAUGGCUUUAGGGCGUUCGUACGUCCAAUGUGGCAGACAACUUUUUCGGGACAGAACGUACGAACGUGGUUAGGGCGUUCGAACGUCCCGUACGCCAGAUCUUUGUUACGUGUUGUACACGUACGUACGUGAUUUCGACGUACGUACGUCCUCCUCCAGUUUUGUGCAAUAUGGGCCUGUUUUGAGCCCAAUUCGUGGCUAUUGUAAGGCUAUACUAUAAAGCCAAAUAGAUGAGAUGCAAAACCUUAACUUUUCUAGGAGAGAGAUUGUGAGAAGCCAUUAGAGAGUUUGAGAGAACUUUUGUGAGGAAGAGAACUUCGGUUUCUUCGUGAGGGCUUGUACAAUUGUCUUGUUAAAGAAAAACAUCAUCCUUUCUCCCCGUGGACGUAGGCAUAUUGCCGAACCACGUACAUCUUGUGUCUUGUGUGUGAUUGCUUGUUUACUUUUGUCGUUUUCGUUUUACUUUCAUAUAUUAGUUCAAUCAUCAUAUUUGUGCAUUAGCCUCCGCUGCGCACAACAGUUAGCAUUCAGAAAAUAUUUGUAAAUUGAUUGAUUUGAUGG